rnacentral:rRNA from 1 species
CCAUGCAUGUCUCAGUACAAGCCAAAUUAAGGUGAAACCGCGAAAGGCUCAUUAAAUCAGUUAUGGUUCCUUAGAUCGUACCCACACUUACUUGGAUAACUGUGGUAAUUCUAGAGCUAAUACAUGCAAACAGAGCUCCGACCGGAGAUGGAAGGAGUGCUUUUAUUAGAUCAAAACCAAUCGGUGGCGGGUCACUUUGUGGCUCGUUAUCGUACACUUUGGUGACUCUGAAUAACUUUACGCUGAUCGCACGGUCCUCGCACCGGCGACGCAUCUUUCAAAUGUCUGCCUUAUCAACUGUCGAUGGUAGGUUCUGCGCCUACCAUGGUUGUAACGGGUAACGGGGAAUCAGGGUUCGAUUCCGGAGAGGGAGCCUGAGAAACGGCUACCACAUCCAAGGAAGGCNGCAGGCGCGCAAAUUACCCACUCCCGGCACGGGGAGGUAGUGACGAAAAAUAACGAUACGGGACUCAUCCGAGGCCCCGUAAUCGGAAUGAGUACACUCUAAACCCUUUAACGAGGAUCAAUUGGAGGGCAAGUCUGGUGCCAGCAGCCGCGGUAAUUCCAGCUCCAAUAGCGUAUAUUAAAGUUGUUGCGGUUAAAAAGCUCGUAGUCGAAUUUGUGUCUCGCGCCGCCGGUUCAUCGUCCGCGGUGUUAACUGGCGUGUCGCGAGACGUCCUGCCGGUGGGCUCUCGUUCCGCGUAUUGUGACACGUUUGAUCAUUCGGUAUCCAAUCCGGAGGUCGGCGGCGUUCCGUGCGUGUGAGCGGACCCAACUCAAUCCUGCCGCGGUGCUCUUCAUUGAGUGUCGAGGUGGGCCGGCACGUUUACUUUGAACAAAUUAGAGUGCUUAAAGCAGGCUAAAAUUUCGCCUGAAUACUGUGUGCAUGGAAUAAUGGAAUAGGACCUCGGUUCUAUUUUGUUGGUUUUCGGAACUCCGAGGUAAUGAUUAAUAGGAACGGAUGGGGGCAUUCGUAUUGCGACGUUAGAGGUGAAAUUCUUGGAUCGUCGCAAGACGGACAGAAGCGAAAGCAUUUGCCAAAAACGCUUUCAUUGAUCAAGAACGAAAGUUAGAGGUUCGAAGGCGAUCAGAUACCGCCCUAGUUCUAACCAUAAACGAUGCCAGCUAGCGAUCCGUCGACGUUCCUCCGAUGACUCGACGGGCAGCUUCCGGGAAACCAAAGCUUUUGGGUUCCGGGGGAAGUAUGGUUGCAAAGCUGAAACUUAAAGGAAUUGACGGAAGGGCACCACCAGGAGUGGAGCCUGCGGCUUAAUUUGACUCAACACGGGAAACCUCACCAGGCCCGGACACCGGAAGGAUUGACAGAUUGAGAGCUCUUUCUUGAUUCGGUGGGUGGUGGUGCAUGGCCGUUCUUAGUUGGUGGAGCGAUUUGUCUGGUUAAUUCCGAUAACGAACGAGACUCUAGCCUGCUAACUAGGCGUAUUUUGACAUCCCAAAGGCCCGCCGGCUAGAUGUCGUUGCGUGAUUCGCGGUUGUCAUAACCGUGGGUUGCGUGCGCUCGGUCGUGCGCGGUUUUUACUGUCGGCGUACAAACAAUUCUUCUUAGAGGGACAGGCGGCUUCUAGCCGCACGAGAUUGAGCAAUAACAGGUCUGUGAUGCCCUUAGAUGUUCUGGGCCGCACGCGCGCUACACUGAAGGAAUCAGCGUGUCCUCCCUGGCCGAGUGGCCCGGGUAACCCGCUGAACCUCCUUCGUGCUAGGGAUUGGGGCUUGCAAUUGUUCCCCAUGAACGAGGAAUUCCCAGUAAGCGCGAGUCAUAAGCUCGCGUUGAUUACGUCCCUGCCCUUUG